rnacentral:rRNA from 1 species
AUGGCUAGUGACAGUGACCACUACAAGGAAAUGGGUGAAGCAAUGUUGGAGAAGUUUGACAAAUAUUGGGAAGAAAAGAAUAAUGCCAUGGUGAUCGCAACCAUCUUUGAUCCUAGGUACAAGAUGGGUUACAUAGAGUGGGACUUUGGAGAACUAUAUGGAGAAGGAAAUACGAGGUUUAGGAUUGAGAUCAAAACUGUGGAGAAAGAGUUGGCAGCCUUGUAUGACAAAUGUGUUGCUCAAAAUAAGCGAGCUGGAAAUGGAGAAAGCUCAUCUUCCUCUACAAACAUUCCUAGUAUCCCGGUUCAAGCUGGGUACGAGUCCUUCUUAUCGUCCCGUUUAACAAGAAUAUCAAAGAGUGAGUUGAGGAACUACUUAGAGGAUGAGGUUGCCCCUCGCAACAAGGCUCUUGAUCUUCUUGGUUGGUGGAAAGAGAAUGCUCCAAGGUACCCAAUGUUGGCCAAGAUAGCCAAGAGGUUCAUUACUAUCCCGGCUACCUCCAUGUCUUCGGAAUCUACCUUCAGCACGACCGGAAGGAUUUUAGAUGACUAUAGGAGUUCGUUAAAACCGGUUAUGGUGGAGGCAUUAGUUUGUGGUGAAAGUUAUAUCAAGGGUGCUCAUGUUGACUUGAAUCUGGUGCCGAGGGAUGAGAAUGAAGAGGAUGAUGUUGAUAACAUCAAGUUACCCACUGUGGUGGAGGAGAUCAACGAU